rnacentral:rRNA from 1 species
GACGAACGCUGGCGGCGUGCUUAACACAUGCAAGUCGAACGGAGCGGCGGACGGGUGAGUAAUACCUAGGAAUCUGCCUGGUCGUGGGGGAUAACGUUCGGAAACGGACGCUAAUACCGCAUACUAUCAGAUGAGCCUAGGUCGGAUUAGCUAGUUGGUGAGGUAAUGGCCCACCAAGGCUACGAUCCGUAACUGGUCUGAGAGGAUGAUCAGUCACACUGGAACUGAGACACGGUCCAGACUCCUACGGGAGGCAGCAGUGGGGAAUAUUGGACAAUGGGCGAAAGCCUGAUGCAGCCAUGCCGCGUGUGUGAAGAAGGUCUUAGGAUUGUAAAGCACUUUAAGUUGGGAGGCGUUACCGACAGAAGAAGCACCGGCUAACUCUGUGCCAGCAGCCGCGGUAAUAC